rnacentral:tRNA from 2 species
GGUUCUGUGGUGCAAUGGUUAGCACGCUCAACUUUGAAUCCAGUGAUCUGCGUUCAAGUCUCAGCAGAACCU